CUUGUGUUCUGUUGACUUUAAAAAACACAUUUGAAAAGAGUCUUAGUUGCCUUCCAAAACUCAGGAUCCAGGAAUGCAUAGAUGAACGGAUUUAUGAAAUUAUUUAUCAAGUACGUAUGAUAGAGCCAUAGCACAAUGAUAAGUCGGUUCCUUGACAAAUUAUCCCAGAAAUCGUGCAUAAUUCCUUCCAAUGUUAGAAUGAUGCCCACGGGUAUUACACUAACA
rnacentral:lncRNA from 1 species